UACGGGGGGGGCUAGCGUUGUUCGGAAUUACUGGGCGUAAAGAGCUCGUAGGUGGUUUGUCGCGUUGUUCGUGAAAACUCACAGCUUAACUGUGGGCGUGCGGGCGAUACGGGCAGACUGGAGUACUGCAGGGGAGACUGGAAUUCCUGGUGUAGCGGUGGAAUGCGCAGAUAUCAGGAGGAACACCGGUGGCGAAGGCGGGUCUCUGGGCAGUAACUGACGCUGAGGAGCGAAAGCGUGGGGAGCGAACAGG
rnacentral:rRNA from 1 species